UAGCCCUGUAAAUGAGAUGUAUUGUUUCAUGUGGAACCUACUUGCUGCACGUCUCCCUUAAUCAAUGGGACCUACCUGGUUAGGUAAAGGUUUGAUAUGAAACAUUGCACCUUGUGGAUCUGGCUGGUUCAGAAAGGCAAAAGAAAACCAAAGCAAUCGUUUGAAGGAAGGCAUCAAUGGUGUCCCUUUGUCUCUGGGUAAUGAUCCGUGCCGUGGGGCUGAAGGCAAGCAGACACGCUUUGUCCCGUACAGAGACUCCAACUCGUCUGCCUCAAGGCACGCUUUGAUUUUAGAGUUCAAAGACUCGUGAUGGAAACUAUGAACCCGGGAGAAAUGAAAGAAAUGCAACGACGGGUACAGAAACAGGAAGUAGACAAUCAGAUCUCAAACUGCCAUGAAGGUCCAGGAGCUGCAGGGGGUGCUCCUGCAUGCCCACAGACGGACGCAGUGAGGGCCAGGCACAUGGAGCAGAUGGCCUCGGCGUCCUCGUCCGUCUUCUUUUCUCUCCUACAACACUGCAUUCAGAGAAACCAGAUUGUGAAGGUGCUGAACCGUUACACUCCGGUCGGGGGGAGCCCGAGGAGGGGCGGGACUCCCUCCCAUAACACUGGACACAAUAACAUGCUGUAUAUAAUGUCAAUAUAGUUUUUAAAUAAAGAGUUCAAAGUUAAAUAUCUGUUUGGAUUUACUUCCUGUAGUUUCCA